AGCAUUUCUCAAUCCACCCUCCCCCUCCCAGGUACGGGCAAAGUCAGCUGGAUCCUUCCGGAGCCCCACAAAGACGGGUUCCUACAGAUGGCCCCACAUCAUGGGUCUACUACGCACAUGAGCACUUUUCAUACACCUUUUUGCUACCCGUGUCUCCUCCGAUGGAAGCACUGUGCUGGUUUUCUUACUGAGUUGUGUUCUUUAUAUAGAAGGGACCAGACUCUCACCCAGACCCCUGCUUUGGCAGCCAUGACAGGCUGCAGAAAAGACCCAGAAAGAGUUGCUUUGAUCAUUCUAGGACCCUUGCGUUUCUGUGUGGCUUAGAACCAAUGCAUCCCUUCCAGGAGACUAAGAAUGGAGAAGAUGUGAGGUUGGCGCUGGGUUUGAAUGAGAACCGUCCCUCAUAGGCCCGGGUAUUUGAAGCCUUGGUCUCCAGUUGGUGGUGCUCCUUGUGAAGUUAUGGAACCUGUAGGGGUCACACCCUUGCAUCACCGGCAGGAGGAGGGAAGCCAACUUUGAGUUUUCUGACUGGACACUGUGUCCUGUUCUAUUUCCCCUGCCUUCCACGUGGGGGUGAAAUGUGACCCCCUCUCUGUUUCCUCAGUGCCAAGCUGAGAACUCUGUCCCUCUGAAACUCAGAGCCAAAAUGAAACUGCUUCCUCCUCAGCUGCUUGCCUCUGAGCAUUUUUUAUCCAAGCAGCAGAAAGGUAACUGGUAGAUCUUGUGUGAUGGUAUGUCUCCAGUGACCGCUCGACUAGACCUGGAAUUGCCUAGAUAAGCCACUGGGCCUCUCCAUGGGGUUUUCUCAGUCAGGUUAUCUGAAGGGAGAAGAGGCACCCUAAACACGGCUGGCACCUUCUGGCUGUGAGAAGCUCUGCUUUUGACUGCUUGCCCUUGUUGCUCUGGCAAGCUCACCCGCUCUCCACAUCCCGCUGUGAAAUCGUCUCUGGUGCCGCGUCCUUGGGUCCGGCUUCUUCUGCUGUCCGAGGUGGACAGUGUUAUUCUGCAGGUGUCCUCCGGGUCUGCAGCAGCAGACCAGACCUGCUGAGACAUCCGGUCUUCCCAGGCCCCUGUAAUGUGAAGACUGGCCACGGUGCAUGUGUGCAAAUCUAAUA